CAUCGAAGUGUGAUGUUUUGUAUUUGAAUUUUUGGCGGUGGGACACAAGUCUUUCCCGAUUUUUUGUAUCAUUUUAUGUAUAUAUCAAGUCUCGUUUAUUCGCUGAACUAAAUGGAUCGUAUUCUUGUAAUAAAGCGCAAUAUUCGGUGAGUAUUUUUAUAUUUUGUAGCGACUUAUUUACACUUCAAUUGAUUGUGAUUUGUGAUAGAUUUGAUCGCAUAUAUAAACAUCGUAGACACAUAUAAAAAUAUAUUUAAAUAUCGACCUAUAAUCCGUAUUACAGAUGAUAUUUCUUAUAAUAGUUUUCUAAAUGACAGUCUAUUUGUUAUUAUAUUUUAGAGUGAAGAAUUUUGCUUAUUUUAAGUAUGGUAUUCGGACUACUUUCCUAUGAAGAACUCCAGGCAAGGUAUGCAUCUUUUAUCUUUCUACAGUAGAUCGAAUUUCUCUCUUGUUUAUAAAUCAUACUGUAGACUGCAUAUAUAUUAAAUGAAAAUGUUAUGCUAAUUCUUUGCCAGUAUUAACAAUAUAAUGGUGCUAAGGUUACAUUCAUAUAUUAAAAAAUGAGCACAAGAAAGGCAAACACUCACUGAUUUAUAUUUAACCAAAUUAUCUGCUAAUGGCAAUGUUGGCCAAAUUUUCAACCAUUACUGGGCUAGCCUGGUAUCUCACUUGACUCAAACAGGGUGCCCGAUCAGCGAGGCUGAAAAUAUUUGCCCAUGAUGUGAAGUCCCCAGCCUUCAUCUUCAUUGAGUUUACAUCAGACAGUUGCAAAUACUUUUCUCAACCCGUUGCCAAUGUCUUAAUUGAAGAGGAAAAUAAACUAAAUAUAGCCUCUAUCUCUACAUACAAGUAUGAUCUAAAUCAUAUACAGUACAGUAAUUAUUUAUCAUUGCCACUACUAUUAUGCUAUUCCAUGCCGGCCCAAUAUUAUUGACCGUAGACCAUUGACCGUAGUAGACCUUGUAUGUAGAUUCAAGUAUGAUCUAAAUCAUCUACAGUACAGUAAUUAUUUAUCAUUGCCACUACUAUUUAACAAUUAGACAACGAGGCCGAGUUGUCUAUGAGCGAAUAGUCAACAAGGCGAAGCCGAGUUGACUAUUUGCUCAUAGACAACGAGGCCGAGUUGCCUAAUUGUUUUAGUAUAAACUUUAACAUUAAUUUACAACUAGGCUGCAAACACAAUACAAAAAUACACAAAAAACAUUAUCAAACCAUUAAAGGUAAACAAAUAUUUUAGUUUUUGUUCGCGUAAAAUGUUUUACAAAAUUCAGUUUUAAUUUUGAAAUUUCAUUGAGUGUAUGUUAUUUUGUCUAUUUUCUUACUCUUAAAAAUUGCCAUUCCAUAUUUUUGUUGCUUUUUCGGGGUUUUUUAGUACAGAAUUGUUGAACAAGUCGUCCAAAAAAAUCAUCAGACACUUCGGCAAAAGUGCAAAAUGCGAAUUUUCCGCCAUUUUGAAUUUUCUAUUAGUAGGCUAUCACUAAUAGCCUACUAGUAGCGUAGCCAAUCAGAAGCCAUGAUAUGUGAUAGCCUACUAGUAGGUUUAUACUAAUAUGCUAUAUUCCAUGCCGGUGUCGCAGUUGAUUUGGACCUCCCGGUCCAAAUCUACUAGUGGAUAUGGACCCCCGGGGGUCCAAAUCUACUAGUAUUUAUGGACCCCUGUUGGCGGAUUUGGACCCCUUCAAAAGUUAAAUAUAUGUGACUUCAAAAGUUAAAUAUAUGUAAUGUGAACACAAUAAUAUAAACCAAAUUCAUAAUAGCGAUCAAUCUGAAGUAUUUUAUUACUUUUACCACCAAGUAAUGAUAAAUUAUUGUUUACUUAAUAAUUUUUUAUUUUUUGGAUGCUCAGAAUGCAGGAAAUUGCAUUUCCGGGUUUCAAAUUACAAAAAUUUUCUGGGAAUUAUCCCUCUAAUCGGUAAUGAUAAAUUACGGUUAAUAUUCUUUUUUACUUUUUGUGCAUUUUCCCUUCUAUUAUUUCAAAUACAAGUAUAGUUAGCAUAAAUUUUAGAGCAAAUUUGGAUGCUCAGAAUGCAGGAAAUGGCAUUUCCGUGCUUCAAAUUUCAAAAAUUUCCUUGGGGAGUACACUCCCACCCCCCCUCCCAUUCAUGCGUGGUAUAUUGGCCACACAUGUUGCCUCCAGCCAUUGCUAUCCCCCUCUAAUAUAUUACCUCACAGAAAGGUCCCUUUUCAAAAAAUGCCCCUCCCCCGCUCGAGAAAAUCCUUUAAAAAGGCCCUGUUGGUCGUGACCUGGGAUAGUUAAUACUUAAACAUUAAUUGGUUAACAUACAAAAUUGAAAAGCACAGCUUAAAUAAUAAUAAAAACAUUCAUAUAUAUGCUCGUUGAUAUUUCACAAUAUCAUCGAGUAGCCUGAAAUGUCAGGCAUUCUAAGGUUUCAAUAAAUAAACAUUCAAUAUUUACUUGGCAACUGGCUACAGUGUUACACCAAAUGAGAAGAUAGGUGGAUCCAGUGUCAAAGACAAUGUCCGCGACGUAAUGAGCAGGUAGUUACAGUUUCAUCAGUGUACAGUAUGAUAAUUCUGGAGCCUGUUAUUUCAACCUGGGUUUUGUGUUCCUCGUAGCAAAAACGUAGGUCUGGUUAAUUUUUUUAGAAACGUUCAUGCUUGAGAGUGAUAUUUUUCGUCAAUUGCAGCGGUACACAAGGCACAAACAUUCAUUAAAUGUUGUAUUAACUUUGAAACAAACCGGUUAUACUCUACAUAACUAGUAUGGAACUAUCGCCCUGAACUGGGUACGAAAAAUUGCUACUAUAGCUCUGCAAACGUCAAAUAAAAAGAUUAGGGUUGGUGAUUUCAGUAGCCAACAGCUAUAGGCACGUUCGGGGAAACCGAACAAUGAAAAACCCAUUGCGAAUAUAAUAUCUAUGAUCACAAGACAAAGUUGCUUUAGGAUCACUAAUUAAAUUCUGUGUCUGAAUGCUUAUUAUUUCUCUGCAUGUAUUUUUACGAAUUUUCUUAUUCUUUAGAUUAAUGACCAGCGAGCUUAUGUCAACCCUAAACAUGGGUGGGCAUGGCGAUAAAACAGAUAGGAAAGGUGGUGAGAAACAAGAGAAACACAAGACAAGAACACAUCGGUAGCAUUUAUGAACUAUAUUUAUGUUAAAUAUUUUUGUG
rnacentral:lncRNA from 1 species